GAUGAACGCUGGCGGCGUGCCUAAUACAUGCAAGUCGAGCGAACAGAUGAGGAGCUUGCUCCUCUGACGUUAGCGGCGGACGGGUGAGUAACACGUGGAUAACCUACCUAUAAGACUGGGAUAACUUCGGGAAACCGGAGCUAAUACCGGAUAAUAUAUUGAACCGCAUGGUUCAAUAGUGAAAGACGGUUUUGCUGUCACUUAUAGAUGGAUCCGCGCCGCAUUAGCUAGUUGGUAAGGUAACGGCUUACCAAGGCAACGAUGCGUAGCCGACCUGAGAGGGUGAUCGGCCACACUGGAACUGAGACACGGUCCAGACUCCUACGGGAGGCAGCAGUAGGGAAUCGUCCGCAAUGGGCGAAAGCCUGACGGAGCAACGCCGCGUGAGUGAUGAAGGUCUUCGGAUCGUAAAACUCUGUUAUUAGGGAAGAACAAAUGUGUAAGUAACUAUGCACGUCUUGACGGUACCUAAUCAGAGAGCCACGGCUAACUAC
rnacentral:rRNA from 1 species